rnacentral:rRNA from 1 species
UACGAAGGGGGCUAGCGUUGUUCGGAUUUACUGGGCGUAAAGCGCACGUAGGCGGAUCGCUAAGUCGGGUGUGAAAUUUCGGAGCUUAACUCCGAAACUGCAUUCGAUACUGGCGUGCUUGAGGACUGGAGAGGAGACUGGAAUUCAUGGUGUAGCAGUGAAAUGCGUAGAGAUCAUGAGGAAGACCAGUGGCGAAGGCGGGUCUCUGGACAGUUCCUGACACUGAGACACGAAGGCCAGGGGAGCAAACGGG